rnacentral:lncRNA from 1 species
AUGGUGACAGUCAUGGGUGAACACACUCAAACCCAUCCCCAUGGUGACAGCCAUGGGCGAACACACUCAAACCCAUCCCAUGGUGACAGCAUGGGCGAACACAUCAACCCAUCCCCAUGGUUACAGUCAUGGGCGAACACACUCAAACCCAUCCCCAUGGUGACAGUCAUGGGUGAACACACUCAAAACCAUCCCCAUGGUUACAGUCAUGGGUGAACACACUCAAACCCAUCCCCAUGGUGACAGCCAUGGGUGAACACACUCAAACCCAAACUCAGUCCUGCCCGUGCACGUUUGUUUUUUUUGCCCUUGCACUACACAGCUGAUAAUAAAAACACUCGUCAAGCUUUGAAUAUUUUUAAAUCAGCUGUGCAGCGUUAGGGCAAAAACCAAAACGGGGCCCCAGGAUCAAGUUAGGGGCUUACCGUAAAAAACUGACCCCAACUAACACACGGCUGUUAGAGAAGCAGGAGGUGCCUUUUGAGAAUCCUUUCCCCGUCAAUAGACAACCAUCUACAUGUCCAUCAGUGGAGGCUGCUGAGAGGAGGACGGCUCAUAAUGGUCAGAGCGAAUGGAAUGAAUGGUUUCACAUGGUUUCCAGGU